rnacentral:misc_RNA from 1 species
GAUGAAGAACGCAGUGAAAUGCGAUAAGUAAUGUGAAUUGCAGAAUUCAGUGAAUCAUCGAAUCUUUGAACGCACAUUGCGCCCGCCAGUAUUCUGGCGGGCAUGCCUGUUCGAGCGUCAUUUCAACCAUCAAGCCCCAGGCUUGUGUUGGAGCCCUGCGGCUGCCGCAGCCUCCCAAAACCAGUGGCGGGCUCGCUAUCACACCGAGUGCAGUAGUUUACUCUUCGCUCAGGGCGUGUGGCGGGUGCUAGCCGUAAAACCCCCAACUUCUCAAGGUUGACCUCGGAUCAGGUAGGAAUACCCGCUGAACUUAAGCAUAUCAAUAAGCGGAGGA